AGAUUAAGUUAUUAAGGGCGCACGGUGGAUGCCUUGGCACUAGAAGCCGAUGAAGGACGUUACUAACGACGAUAUGCUUUGGGUAGCUGUAAGUAAGCGUUGAUCCAGAGAUUUCCGAAUGGGGGAACCCAGCAUGAGUUAUGUCAUGUUAUCGACAUGUGAAUUCAUAGCAUGUCAGAAGGCAGACCCGGAGAACUGAAACAUCUUAGUACCCGGAGGAAGAGAAAGAAAAAUCGAUUCCCUGAGUAGCGGCGAGCGAAACGGGAAGAGCCCAAACCAACAAGCUUGCUUGUUGGGGUUGUAGGACACUCUAUACGGAGUUACAAAAGAACAUGUUAGACGAAUCAUCUGGAAAGAUGAAUCAAAGAAGGUAAUAAUCCUGUAGUCGAAAACAUAUUCUCUCUUGAGUGGAUCCUGAGUACGACGGAGCACGUGAAAUUCCGUCGGAAUCUGGGAGGACCAUCUCCUAAGGCUAAAUACUCUCUAGUGACCGAUAGUGAACCAGUACCGUGAGGGAAAGGUGAAAAGUACCCCGGAAGGGGAGUGAAAGAGAACUUGAAACCGUGUGCUUACAAGUAGUCAGAGCCCGUUAAUGGGUGAUGGCGUGCCUUUUGUAGAAUGAACCGGCGAGUUACGAUCUGAUGCAAGGUUAAGCAGCAAAUGUGGAGCCGCAGCGAAAGCGAGUCUGAAUAGGGCGUUGAGUAUUUGGUCGUAGACCCGAAACCAGGUGAUCUACCCUUGGUCAGGUUGAAGUUCAGGUAACACUGAAUGGAGGACCGAACCGACUUACGUUGAAAAGUGAGCGGAUGAACUGAGGGUAGCGGAGAAAUUCCAAUCGAACUUGGAGAUAGCUGGUUCUCUCCGAAAUAGCUUUAGGGCUAGCCUCAAGUGAUGAUUAUUGGAGGUAGAGCACUGUUUGGACGAGGGGCCCCUCUCGGGUUACCGAAUUCAGACAAACUCCGAAUGCCAAUUAAUUUAACUUGGGAGUCAGAACAUGGGUGAUAAGGUCCGUGUUCGAAAGGGAAACAGCCCAGACCACCAGCUAAGGUCCCAAAAUAUAUGUUAAGUGGAAAAGGAAGU
rnacentral:rRNA from 1 species